rnacentral:lncRNA from 1 species
UCCACCACUGCCCAACGCCUCUCUCUCUCACCACCACCAACCACCACCACCACUGCCAGCGGCUCUCUCUCUCUGGUUGUUCGCUCACCGAUUAGUGCUAUACAUACACAAACACACACAUUCACCACUGCUUUUCUCAUCUCCCUCAAUCGUGUUUCUAGCACUGCUCUCGCGCCGGCGUCGUGGCUGCCGCCGGCCGCGCUGCACCACCACUCGGCUAUGCCGCCCCGUAAGUGCUCCCCUCCCCUUAUCUCUCCAUCAGACCCCCCACUAGAUUUAGUGAUUCUGUUCAAUUAUUUAGUGAUUCUGUUCAAGUCAUUUAGUGAUUGUUUGUACGUUUGUACACUAAGGAGUUUGUAUUUGAACACUUGCCUAUAUAUAUA